UACGGAGGGUGCAAGCGUUAUCCGGAUUCACUGGGUUUAAAGGGCGCGUAGGCGGUUCGUACAGUCAGACGUGAAAUUCCUGGGCUCAACCUGGGGGCUGCGUUUGAUACGUGCGGGCUUGAGUUCGGAAGAGGGUCGUGGAAUUCCCAGUGUAGAGGUGAAAUUCGUAGAUAUUGGGAAGAACACUGGUGGCGAAGGCGGCGACCUGGUCCGAUACUGACGCUGAGGCGCGAAAGCGUGGGGAGCAAACAGG
rnacentral:rRNA from 1 species